GGAAUCUUCCGCAAUGGGCGCAAGCCUGACGGAGCAACGCCGCGUGAGUGAGGAAGUUCUUCGGAACGUAAAGCUCUGUUGUUCCUGACGAACCUCCCUUCUAUCAACAACGGAGGGGACUAACGGUAGGGAACGAGGAAGCCACGGCUAACUACGUGCCAGCAGCCGCGGUAAUACGUAGGUGGCAAGCGUUGUCCGGAUUUAUUGGGCGUAAAGCGAGCGCAGGCGGUUUUUUAAGUCUGAUGUGAAAGCCUUCGGCUUAACCGAAGAAGUGCAUUAGAAACUGGGAAACUUGAGUGCAGAAGAGGACAGUGGAACUCCAUGUGUAGCGGUGAAAUGCGUAGAUAUAUGGAAGAACACCAGUGGCGAAGGCGGCUGUCUGGUCUGUAACUGACGCUGAGGCUCGAAAGUAUGGGGAGCGAACA
rnacentral:rRNA from 1 species